rnacentral:lncRNA from 1 species
CUGAAACCUGGAAGCUGGGUUGUUGGUCCCACAGACCAGAGUGGAAACUUGUGGUGUUUUCUCCAAGCCUGCUUAUGCCUGCCCUGGACCUAUCAGCGCACACCUCCUCCCCUCUGAGGCCCAUAUAAGCUCCAGAUUCAGUCAGACUUGAGGAGAUGACAGGAUGACAGGCUGCAGAGAAGACCUACCCACCAAAGGCUCUCCUCUCUACUGAGAGCUGAGGAGAUGACGGGACAGCAAGCUGCAGAAAGUAGCUACCCACCCCGGGGUCUCCCCUCUGCUGAGAGCUGAAGAGACAACAGGAGAGCAAGGACUCACAGGGAACUGGCACCUCUGUCUGUGCCUGGAGCUGCCUGUCCCAUUGCAGCCAUCAUGCCUGGCUGUAAGCAGUGGCCAGAACUCAUGUUUGCUUGCUCACACACCCCUCACCACUCUGCUUGCCCUUGGAAAGCAUGGGAUCCAGGCUGGGAGAGUGAGGCCAGUGCAGGCUGCCAAGCCGAGUAGGCAAAAUGAGCCCAGAGGGCCUGAGCAAAACGGGGGCAAAGGUGCCACUGCCCACAGUGGUUUCUAGCUGGAAAAACAACACUCCAAGGAUUCCGUAACAUUUCACAGGGCUCGUCCAGGAUCUGCAAAGAAUCAAUCCAACUGUCUAUCCUCUCAGGAAAAAUUUUCAGAUCAAUCCAACUGUCUAUCCUCUCAGGAAAAUUAGAGGUGAUUGUGAACCACAAUAACAGGAAGUGUGAAUGCUGAUUUCUCCACAAUUUUUCCAGCUUUGUUGAGGUAUCCACAACCUGCUGAUUUGCCAGUUUUCUCUUUGGAAUAGCUGUCUUGUGAAGCUUGGCUUUUCUAAAGAGAAAAAGAGAAAUUACUAUUGAGGACAUCUCGCUAUAGAGAACAUUAACCACCUGUGUGAGGUGUUCUGCAUCUGAGCUAAGCGAUGGUGGUAGUUAAGCCUAGAAGGAACAGAGGCAAGAACUUUGAGAAGCUUCGAAGACUUGAGUUCCCAGGUUUCAAAAUUUACUGCAAGGUUUUGAGAUUAAGAAAUGUACACUAAGAGAGGAAUAACAAAACGAUUCCAAAGUCACAGGACUUGUGUUUGGAUGGGAUUUAGAUUCAGGUCUUUAUCUCUAACCUUUCUCCCUCCAUCACCUUUACUUUGAGCUAAAUAUUUUUUAUGCUUGUAUGACACUACUUCUGACUUUAUUGAAACAGCCCUUAUAAGAUUCCAGGAGUGUGGAUUAUAGUUCAGCAUCAUGCUAUGUAUUGCUUGUACCAUUCGUUGUCAAUUAAUUAAUAUAUCACCUUGUUACUCCUGAAAUUUUUAUUUAAUUCAGGUAUUGCUGUUUAAAUUUAAAUGUUGCUUAUCAGCCUAAAAUAAUUAUAGUCACCUCAAGGCUUAUCUUCCCUGAAACCUAGGGCCUUGCACAAAUUAUCUCAUUAAAGGCAUUUGUUGAAUGAAAUAGAUUCAUGAAUAAGAGCAGCAACACUAUCAAAAUAGAGCAUUAGCUUCACCUCGUCCCAGUUUGGAAGCAAUAUGGCCCUCAUCCAUGUUGUUUUGGGUUGGGUUUCCUAGAAGUGGAGCCUGAGAAGGCAGUAUGUGAGCAAGGGAUUUUUUGAGAGGGCUCUCAGGAGAAAUCCAUGAUGAAAUGGAGUAGGAAAUGAAAGGGAAGGAAUUUGAUUCUAAGGAAAGGUCUUGGGCGUAAAUAUUCCACCUUGACGUGGAGGUGACUCCACAGCAGUCAGUGAUUGGGUACAGGCUACCAUGGUGGUGGGGUGGGAUUCAGUGUAGUUCCCAGCCUCUUGAGUAGGAAAGAGGGGCCAGCCUCCCAAUAACAACCUGCUGGAGAAGGUGGCAGGUGUGGACAUGCCAAACAAAGAAACAGAUCCUAGAGGGCAGGACAUCAUCCUCCUCCUCAUGUAAAACCUGGCAAGAAAGACACAUACAGAGUUAAUUUACCCAUGUGCAAAAGAUUCCUGUCCGUCAUAAUGAUGCCACUUGCAAGCAUAGUAAAUAGUUUCCUAUUCUGGUGCUGAAUCCAGUUGAUCGUCAAAGAUGUCCCAGAGUCUGUGUUAAAAUUUCUGUAGAGGCCACAUUUAUUUAAAAACACAACAUGCCCAAUACCAAACACUGAUCUUGGCUCUCUGUUCCUAAAUUGAUAUUGCCAUAGUCUUCCUCAUUUCAGCAAAAUGAAGAAUAUUCUAUUCAAUUCACUGACUAUUCAGUAGUGUGAGAGGGAAAUUUAUGUCUAGAGGGCAGCCAUGUAGAUUUCAUUAAAUGUUGUGAUUUAAUUUCUUUAGGAAGUAAUUUAUAGAGAUUCAAAGCAGGAUUUUUGGAGUUAGAGAGAUUUUGUUUCUGUUACUUAAAAACAGUGUGACCUUGGAGAAGUCACCCUCUGAAGUUGAAUUUCCUCACUAUAAAUAACAGGUAAUUUUCAGAGUCAUCUUAAUAAAGAGAUAUUUCAUGUGAAGCAUUUAGUAUAGUGCUUAGCAUAUAGUAAUGCUCAAUAAAUGUUAACACAUUUUAGCCAUACAUAUUCAUGAAGAUAUUUUCUGUCACCAAUGAGAGAGAACUGAGAAAAUAAGAAGAAAGAUCAAAGGUAUAAGAGGAGAUUGGCUGAAGAAUUUUGAAUGUAGAGCAGUUCUGCAAGCUGUUUUGUUAUACCUAGAAAUAGCUGAAAAUUCCUUGGAGCUUACCUGUACUUUAAUUUUUGGGUUGUGAUCAAAUACAUCUAUAGCUAGAUGUAGAUUAAUUUUCUAUACUUGAAAGAUCAUAUAUAAUUCUGUUUCUCUGUCAGCAUCAAGACAGCCUCUUCAUCAUUUUUAUUGACUUCUAGGUGAUGUCUAACUUGUAAAAAUUAUUUCUCAGUCUAGCUAUGCCAACUCAACCCUCAAAAGGAAAAAAAAUGGAUAUUGUAAUUAAAUGAAGAUAUAUAAAGUCUCAUGAUUGAAUAUUUUAAAAGAUUGUUCACAUCUUUAUAAAAAUUAAUAUUUUACCAUUUAAUCUGGUAACAAUAUUUGAAAACUAAAUAUUUCUGUUGAAGUGCCUUGGUCAUUUGAACUAAAAUUAAUUUAUUUCAUAUAAUAAUCUUGGUACAUUUUCAAUAAAAUUUAAAGUGAUGACAGUCAUUCAGAUCAUCCUGGGUACAUUGGUACACCAAGUAUUGUGCUAGACUCUAGAAAUACAAAAAUGAAUAAAACAUGAUACUUUUUCCCACCACAGAGCUGACAAGGUGGUGAAGGCAACAGAUUGUCCCAGUAAAGUAUGGCAGGAGGUGAGAUAGGCAUGAAAUCAGGAUGAUAUUAAAUUGGAGUCUAUUUAGGGGCUUGGGGCAGGAGUUGAUGAUGUCUGAGCUAGAAUUUGAAGUGUGAGUUAAAGUUAGCCAGAAGAAGAAAGGCAAAAGGGGUAUCAUAGAGAAGGUCAGGACCUCGUGAAGCAUCGAGGCAUCGAGCACUAAGGAGAAUGUGAGAUAUUGAGCCAAGUUUAGUAUUACUUAUGCACCACUCCGGGCAGGUAAGUGUGAUAGGUUAAUGAUGGCCACAAAGUCUUUGUCUCUCCUCCUAUUUAGACAUGGAUUCUGUGUCUCCUUCUAUUUCAAUUUGACUGUAAGGCAACACAGCUAACAGGUUGCAACAGCAAGGAUUCUGUGUCUGUGAAUAGUUGGAUAGAAUAUGGUGGAAGUACCCCAGUAACAGUUUCUGGACCAGGCCUUAAAAGAUUGGCAGCUUCUCUUCCCGAAUCUUGGAACAUACAUGGUAGAAGAAGCUAGCUGCCGUAUAAAAUGCCUUAUUUAAAAAUUAUGUGGAGAGGCCCUGCGACUACAUGAAGAGGCUGUGGAGUCCAGCUGAAUCUGGCAUCUAGCUAUUUCCAGUAAGGUCACAGAAAUGUGACUAAAACCAUCCUGGACCCUCCAGACCAGACCAGCCAUUGGGUGAAUACAACCAAGUGGCCCCAGGCAAUACAAAGUCACUCUGCUGACUCCCAGCAGAAUCCCUGACCCUACAUGAUCAUGAGCUAUAAUACAGUGGAUGCUACUCCAAGCCAUUAAGUGUUGGGGUGGUUUGUUGCACAACAAUUAAAAACAAGAACAGUGGAAUAUGAGGAAGAAUUAUGCAAGGGCAAUAUGAUGGAGGGCUUGGGGUACAAGGUUAAGCAUUUUGGAUACUAAAUGUUUCCAAGUCUAUGGUAGUAAAAUCACCCCUCCUCCGAAUACAGGAUUCCUCAAUUUAUCUUUCGCCAAACAAGCCCAUUUCAAAAACCACUGCUGGAGGGAGAGCAUCAGCAUAAAUAGCUAAUGCUUGUGUGGCUUAAUACCUAGGUGAUGGGUUGAAAGGUGCAGCAAACCACCAUGGCACAUGUUUACUUAUGUAACAAACCUGCACAUCCUGCACAUGUUAUCUCAGAACUUAAAAUAAAAUUGAAUUAAAUUUUUAAAAAGAAUUAUACAAUAAAAAACAAAAAAUGCCAUAUUCUAUUUACAUAAUUUCAGAAAAUAAAAGGAAAUAUAACUCUAAGAAAUUUGGAAGGACAGAAUUGCAAAGGGAUGAUCGGUGCCAGGCACUGCUUUAAGUGUUUCAUAUACAUUAAUUGACUCAGUCUUUAUAACAAUCCACUAAAGUAACUGGCGAUAUCUGCCCCAUUUUAUAAAUGAGGAAACUGAAUCAUAGUGAAGUUACAAAACUCAGUUACAGUAACACAGCUAACAGGUGUCAAGAGCAAGGAUUCAAACCCACUCAGUCUGGAUCCAGACUUCGUCGGUUUAAUAAUUAUGCUGCAAUCUUUUUCAUAGUUCUUAAACAAGAUGUAUGUGUGUGUGUGUGCAUGCACAUGCACAUGUGUAUAAAUAUAGGGUGUGAUGAGUAGUAUCUGUCUUCUUCAAUAGCCUGAGCUCACCUGAAGGAGAGGCAGAGGUCCUUUCCCUUUGCUCAUCAUUAUUUCCAUAGUGCUUAUCCUAGCAACAAUCACAUAGGUGGUCAGCAGAUACUUGCAGAAUGACUGGAAGUGUGCACUAGUGACAAAAUGAUUCCUUAAAUUGAAUAAACUGAGCUGUAUGAAGCACUGCAUUGUCCCUAUUAGGAGCAUAUUAUCAUGGAUAUGAGCAAAUUUGAGAAUUGCCUCUCAAACUAGAUUUAAAAAAACAAAGAAAAGAAAAGUACAAGUUCAGGAAGAAUUCAAGUGAGUAUACACAGCUACCAAUGUGGGCCAUGCAUCAGAUCAGAAAUCAAGGAAGGGAGAGUUUGAGGAGUGACUGGACAACCAGAGAAGCCACUAGGGCCAGAUAAAUAAGGAUUGAGACAUUUGGAUAAAAAAACUGUGGGAAGAAAAGAGACAUGACACCAUGCUGCUAUUUUGAAAGUCUAGUGAAAAACAAGUGUUGAGAUUAAAAAAAAAAAUGACACUUCAGUGUAUAGGAAGGAGUCAAACAGAGAAAUUAUUUAAGCUGAAACCCAAAAGAUGAUUCUGAGACAGUGUAAUGAAGAGUGAAAAGUGUCCCAGUAAAGGUAUCGCAUCGCCAAGUUUCCAAUGUGAGAAAAAUACUGGCUAAUCAUUCAAGGCAGCAAGAUAGUGGCUGUAGAGCUGAGAGUGAGUAUUGGGAAUUGGGGUUGGAGAGGUAGGAAGAGGUCAGAGUGCUGCCCAAUGUGUAGUAGACGUUAGGAUGUUGCUACUUGUCCUAAAGGCAAUGUGAAAUGAUGGAUAUGUGUCAAAUAGUGGAGUGUCGAUCUGGUUUACUCAUUUGCUCUGUGGCAGCACAUAUGAAAGCAGGUAUGAUUUUAUUGAGUGUGUAUUAUUGUUAGGGACUUUUCUUGACAAUGGAGAUGGAAAAAUCAAAAGAGAAUAUAUUUACAUGUAUAGAUCUCACAAUCUGACCAGGGUGUCAGGGGAGCAGAAUAUGUUAAGAAAAAAAGCUAGUAAGACAUUUUAGUUUUUUCUCAGUGUCUGAUGGGGAAUAUGGGAAUACAGAAUAGGGAGAGUAGAGAAAGGCUGGAAAGAAGACGUGGUGAUAGAUGAUAGAAAAAGCAGAUGGGGAUACUAGAGGGAGUGGGAAAAACCUUAGAGCUGGAGAAAGAUUGAAGUGGAAUGUCCAGGAUGAGAAUUGUGUGCAAUCUUAAUCUGGUCUGUGCUCCUUAUAUUAUGUGAAGAUGAGGCACAUCUGAAACCAAGUUCACCUUAUCUGUGGUUCCCUGCUCCAUGGGAGUAAAAUACAUAAAGGAGGAACUCUUUGAUUCAGAAGGGCAGCUAUUUUCUUUUAUGGCCUCAUUGCUCUUGUAACUUCUUGAACUUUUCCUCUGUACACAGGAGAUGGAGAUUUGUUAUUUUAUUAUUAAGUGCUCUAACUCUGUCUUCUUGGCAUUCAGCCAUAAAGCUCAAAUCUUUACACUUGAAGAAUAGAAUUUAGGCCAGAAGAAAUAGAUCUUGCCCUAGCUUUUCCAUUAGAUAUAUAACUAAGUGACCUCGAAUAAACUCCUUAACCUCUCUAUGUCUUACUUUCUUACUUUGUAAGAUGAAGUAGGUAGAAUAGAUGAGCUUAAACAUUUUGUCCAUCACUGACAAUGUCUCCACAUUUCUCCUGUUCAAUCUGGGCUGAAAGAGGUUAAAUCUUAUUGUGCAUCACUAGUCAUUAAUACCGAACAUUAUCAUAAUAGUUUUCUUUCAUUGAGCAUGGACUGCACAGCAGGCUUUAUAUUCAUUUCUUCAUUUAAUUUCUGUUCUCUUAUUUCUUUAUGUAAUCCUCACAAUAUUAGUUAUUUUAUAGUAAAGGAAACUGAGGCUAAAUGAGGUUAAGUCCUUUCUCAAGGUCACACAGUUAGAAAAUGACAGAACCAGGAUUUUAACAUCAUUCUCUUUGACUCUAUAGCUAUUAAUAUUUCCAAGUGCCAUGCUGACAUCAUUGGCAUGAACUAUUUUUUUUGCAUUGAAAUAUAACUUAAGUUAAAAUAGUUAGAUUUUUAGCAGAGCAGCCAGUGUGAUAUGAAUCUGGUAUUACUCUGAUUCAGAAGAAAGUCUUACUCAGCUUCACACAUAGUGUGAAUAAUGGCACCAAAAAUGUUUACCAUAAAUCUUUCCCAGACCUCAGGCCUGGAUUAGUAUGCUAAUGUUUAAGCUGCUGCAAUAUUUCACAGAGAGGGAUAAACGGGUAAACAUAAAAACGUGUAUUUAAAUGUGGGUGGAUGUGCCUAUAGAGGCACCAAAGGCACUGCUAAAAUUAUCUGCACUUCUUUAUCCAUUGAGAAUGGAAGGCCUUUAAGGUCAUCAAUGAGAUGGGAUCAUCUUGUUGCCAAUCCUAAGGCAGUCUGGCUCUGAGGCUGAAUGAAAUGGAAUUAAGAGAGGGCUGUAAAAAGCCAAGUGGAGCUGUCAUCACUAUAAAAAUGGCAUUGGCAUUGCAAUGACUCAGGCAUUUGAUGACUCACCACCUCUAUGAACUUGCACUGGGUGAACCCCAAAGCCAAAGCCAGCCAAGAAGAAAUAUCAGGAAAGUAACAAUCAAAUACUCUGAAGUUUAUCUCUCAGUUGAAAGUGAAGAAAAUAACAACUCACUCUGGAAAAAGAUGUAUAAGCAAUUGAAUCAAAAAUGGCUAUGGAUGACCUGAGAGUCUUGGCUUCUCAGUGGAGAUGGCCAAAGGUGAGCUUGACAGAGAGAGGUGAAUUGGACCACAUUUGACUUGUUUUUAGCCCCAAAUUUUAAAAAAUCCAAUUUUAGGCAGCAAUGGGCUAUUCCCUUGCAAAUAGUUUUAGCAUUGAUAAAGAACUUUAUAAACAAUAUUAACAAACAUUAUUUAAUGCAUAAUGGCAUAAUAUAAUAACCUAUGAAAAGGUUAAUAAGAAAGAGUUCCAGAAGUAGAGAAAAAACAACAAAACAAAACAAUAAAACAAAACAAAACGAAAAAAGGUGACCCCACUGGGAAUCAGGAAUCCUCUGAAAUCUCUUUGUAUUAUUUGUUAAAAUUAACAUUAAAAUGUUAUUUUAUUUUCUUAUGUUUGUACAUGGAGUCUUGAUUAGGCCUAUGGCUCCCUUUUUAGAAUAAUAUGCUAACCAUAUAAUAUGACUUAUAUGUAAUCUUAAAGCUUACCAGUUAUAUGCCUUACAGUUAUUAAAGGAGUCUUAUAAAUUUGUGACAUAGCAAUAACAUAAUUAUUUAUCCUCAAUGAACUAACAAGUUUCUAGCAGGUAUUCUAAUAUUAACUGUAAUUUCAAAGGCAUGACUUAAGUAAUAUAGUAUUUGAUGCAUCAGCACUAACUGCAAUAUUACACAAAAAUAUAAAGGAUUUGUACUGACAACCACUCAUAUGUGUUGCUAAGACUACUAUGGUUUGUUGCCUACAUUUAAAAUGAAAAGAGAUGCUAAUUUCACUUACAGCUUAGUAAUAUGCAAUUUUUUUAUUAAAGUUCUCAGACCUCUUAAACCUAUAGUACAUGACCCCCAUGUUAAGAACUUCCAUACUAUUUGCAGAUUACUAAAUAGACAAGUUGCCUUUGGGUAAAUAGUAUUAGAGACUGCUAUAACUUUUGUGUUGCAGCAACUACAGUUGAUAGAUUUAUUUAUCAUAAUAAAGAUUCUGGUUCAAAAAAUGCCUUUUCCCCCCCCGAAUAACCAGCUGCAAUGUCUAGAAUUGGUUAUUUUUCACAGGAGAGAGUUUUAGGUGGAUCCUGAAAUCCAUCUAGUUGAUGAGACAUCCUAAUUUAGAGCAGUUGAUUGCAUGAAAGGAUUAAGAUUUGUUUAACACAUUUUAUUACUAAGCCAAAUACUCUUUGCAAAAAUGUAUGCUAAAGGAGUUGGCAUACCUUGCUUCACGACCACUCUUCCCUCAUGUUUUAUCUCAUGCAAUGACUCUACCUGUAAUGUGAAGUCUUCUAAAACAGAUUUUCUCCUCUUUUUCUUCUCAUCACAUUCAUACUAACGGUAAUUUCCGUGCAUCCUUUAAGAUUUGCUUAGGUCUCCUGCUUCUCCCAUUACUCGUCUCCGGGAUGUUAGAUGCAACUGUCAUAUUGGUUUCCAUAGUAUUUUAUGUAUGUUCCUGUCAUUGUACUGAUUACAAUGAUUUGUAUUAUUGGGUUUUAUGUUCAUUUCCAAUUUUAGACUAUGAGCUGUUUAUGAGCAGGGGGAGGUGUUAAAAUAAAUUUUUAAGCUCCAAUCUCAGUGCAGUAAUUAGCACAAAAAUAUUUUUCACUAUGUUUAUAAAAUAAAUGGGCACAAUUGUGCUGAGUUUGAGGAAUACAAAGAUAUAUAUAAAACACAGUUCAUUCCCUCAAGAGGCUUAGAUUCUUGCUGAAAAUUGAGACUCUGUGUGUGUGUGCAUGUGCGUCUAUGUGUGUAUGUGCACAUGCAGGAGUAAGACCAAGAUCAACAAUUGGUAUAAGGUUCCUGGCACUACAUGCAAAAUAAACAAAAUAAUAAAUUAUAUAUUUAUUUAAAAAUAAUUAAAUUAAGACUGUAAUAUAAUGCAUUCUGAAAUAGUUAAAAACUGAGCUGAAAUGAGAACCGUGAAAAGAGUUAGAGUGGGAAUGGUGGGAAUGUAUCCACUAUAAGGUUCUUC